rnacentral:rRNA from 1 species
GACGAACGCUGGCGGCGUGCCUAACACAUGCAAGUCGAACGGAAAGGUCCGGCUUUUGGGCGACGCUCGAGUGGCGCACGGGUGAGUAACACGUGAGUAACCUGACCUUGACUUUGGGAUAACUUCAGGAAACUGGGGCUAAUACCGGAUAGGAUCUCCUGCUGCAUGGUGGGGGUUGGAAAGUUUCGGCGGUUGGGGAUGGACUCGCUGCUUAUCAGCUUGUUAGUGGGGUAGUGGCGGACCAAGGCUUUGACGGGUAGGCGGCCUGGGAGGGGGGCCGGCCCCAAUAAGUCUGAGAUACGGCCCAGACUCCAACGGGACGCAACAGUGGGGAAUAUUACACAGUGGGCUGGGGCCAGAUGCAGCAACGCCGCGUGCGGUAUAACGGGAUUCGAGUUGUAUACCAAUUUCGCCUGUGACGAGGCGUGAGUGACGGUAACGGGUAAAGAAGCCCCGGCUAACUACGUG